rnacentral:rRNA from 1 species
GCUUAACGCGAAGAACCUUACCUGGCCUUGACAUCCCAGGAACCCUGAAGAGAUUUGGGUGGCGCAAGAACCGUAGAGACAGGUGCUGCAUGGCGUGUCGUCAGCUCGUGUCGUGAGAUGUUGGGUUAAGUCCCGCAACGAGCGCAACCCUUCGUCUUACGUUGCCAUCAUUCAGUUGGGUAACGUCUAAGGAGACCGCCGGUGACAAACCGGAAGGAAGGUGGGGAGUGACGUCAAGUCAUCAUGGCCUUUAUGGCCAGGGCUACACACGUGCUACAAUGGCAGGUACAGAGGGAGGCCAACUCGCGAGAGGGAGCCAAUCCCAGAAAGCCUGUCUUAGUCCGGAUUGGAGUCUGCAACUCGACUCCAUGAAGCUGGAAUCGCUAGUAAUCGCAGAUCAGCAUUGCUG